rnacentral:lncRNA from 1 species
CAGCAUCACAGCCACAGCUGCCAGCGUAGGAGCAGCUGGCAUCCCCCAGGCAGGACUGGUUACCAUGGUGAUUGUGCUCACAUCCGUCGGCCUGCCCACAGAGGACAUCACAUUGAUCAUAGCUGUGGAUUGGUUCCUUGAUCGACUUCGUACGAUGACCAAUGUACUUGGGGACUCAAUUGGAGCAGCUGUCAUUGAGCAUUUGUCCCAACGGGAGCUGGAGCUGCAAGAGGCUGAGCUGACUCUACCCAGCCUGGGGAAACCCUAUAAGUCACUCAUGGCACAAGAAAAGGGGGCAUCAAGGGGUCGGGGAGGUAAUGAGAGUGUCAUGUGAGAAGCUUCUAGCUCUCUGUCCAGGGCGGAGGGAAGGGGCUGGGAGGGGAGUCCUGGGGACAAUCUGUUGCACAACUGACUGUGGGCUGCACAUACAUGUUCUGUGUGGGUUCUCUGGGGACUGCUGAGAUAAAAGAGAAGGAAUGAAAGGUA